GAAAUGCGAUAAGUAAUGUGAAUUGCAGAAUUCAGUGAAUCAUCGAAUCUUUGAACGCACCUUGCGCUCCUUGGUAUUCCUUGGAGCAUGCCUGUUUGAGUAUCAUGAAAUCUUCAAAGUAAAUCUUUUGUUAACUCAAUUGGUUUCUACUUUGGUAUUGGAGGUCUUUGCAGCUUCACACCUGCUCCUCUUUGUUCAUUAGCUGGAUCUCAGUGUUAUGCUUGGUUCCACUCGGCGUGAUAAGUUAUCUAUUGCUGAGGACACUGUAAAAGGUGGCCAAGGUAAAUGCAGAUGAACCGCUUCUAAUAGUCCAUUGACUUGGACAAUACUUUUAUGAUCUGAUCUCAAAUCAGGUAGGACUACCCGCUGAACUUAAGC
rnacentral:misc_RNA from 1 species